rnacentral:tRNA from 1 species
GUGAGUGUAGCUCAGUCGGUUAGAGCACAAGGUUGUGGUCCUUGGGGUCGGGGGAUCGAAUCCCCUCACUCACC